AUUGAACGCUGGCGGCAUGCCUUACACAUGCAAGUCGAACGGCAGCACGGGGCAACCUGGUGGCGAGUGGCGAACGGGUGAAUAAUGCAUCGGAACGUACCUUUCAGUGGGGGAUAACGUAGCGAAAGUUACGCUAAUACCGCAUAUUCUGUGAGCAGGAAAGCAGGGGAUCGCAAGACCUUGCGCUGAUUGAGCGGCCGAUGUCAGAUUAGCUAGUUGGUGAGGUAAAGACUCACCAAGGCGACGAUCUGUAGCGGGUCUGAGAGGAUGAUCCGCCACACUGGAACUGAGACACGGUCCAGACUCCUACGGGAGGCAGCAGUGGGGAAUUUUGGACAAUGGGGGCAACCCUGAUCCAGCCAUGCCGCGUGAGUGAAGAAGGCCUUCGGGUUGUAAAGCUCUUUCGGCCGGGAAGAAAUCGCACGGGCUAAUACCCUGUGUGGAUGACGGUACCGGAAUAAGAAGCACCGGCUAACUACGUGCCAGCAGCCGCGGUAA
rnacentral:rRNA from 1 species